UACGUAGGGUGCAAGCGUUAUCCGGAAUUAUUGGGCGUAAAGAGCUCGUAGGCGGUUUGUCACGUCUGCUGUGAAAACUGGAGGCUCAACCUCCAGCCUGCAGUGGGUACGGGCAGACUAGAGUGCGGUAGGGGAGAUUGGAAUUCCUGGUGUAGCGGUGAAAUGCGCAGAUAUCAGGAGGAACACCGGUGGCGAAGGCGGGUCUCGUGGGCCGAUGACUGACGCUGAGGAGCGAAAGCGUGGGGAGCGAACAG
rnacentral:rRNA from 1 species